CAAAAGCUUUAAGGAAAGCUCUUUGUUUUUUGAAAUGGUGCUUUUAUGAGAUAAUGCUUUUUUAGAUAAUGCUGGGGAAGGUUUUCCGGUUUAUCUCGGAGGGCUUGUAGCUCAGUUGGUUAGAGCGCGCGCUUGAUAAGCGUGAGGUCGGAGGUUCAAGUCCUCCCAGGCCCACCAAUUUACCUAUCCAUUUGCCUUUAUCCGUUUAUUUGCCGAUUUAUCGGUCUAUUGAAUUUAAGUGUUGGUAGCAGUUUUUAUAAUGAUGAGAAAUCAUGCUUAUAAAAGAACUCCUUAUAAAAGGCUUGUUUUUAAAAUGUGACGCUUAUCCAUUUCGCUUAGGCAAGAGAAACUUCAAGCGGUUCAAAUGCAAAAGGCUUUAAAUUUUGCAAAACACUUUGAAUUUUAAAGUGAUCCAAGUUCGUGAUCUCGAAUUUAAAAGUUUCGAAUGCUUUAUCCUUUUUUGGGGGCCGUAGCUCAGCUGGGAGAGCACCUGCUUUGCAAGCAGGGGGUCGUCGGUUCGAUCCCGUCCGGCUCCACCAUUUAGAUCAUCAUCAUUGUUGUGAGAACACUCUUUAGUGAGAGGUUA
rnacentral:tRNA from 1 species